rnacentral:rRNA from 1 species
GUGGGGAAUAUUGCACAAUGGGGGAAACCCUGAUGCAGCGACGCCGCGUGAGUGAUGAAGUAUUUCGGUAUGUAAAGCUCUAUCAGCAAGGAAGAUAAUGACGGUACUUGACUAAGAAGCCCCGGCUAAAUACGUGCCAGCAGCCGCGGUAAUACGUAUGGGGCAAGCGUUAUCCGGAUUUACUGGGUGUAAAGGGAGCGUAGACGGAAUGGCAAGUCAGAUGUGAAAGCCUGGGGCUCAACCCCGGAACUGCAUUUGAAACUGUCAAUCUAGAGUGUCGGAGAGGUAAGUGGAAUUCCUAGUGUAGCGGUGAAAUGCGUAGAUAUUAGGAGGAACACCAGUGGCGAAGGCGGCUUACUGGACGACAACUGACGUUGAGGCUCGAAAGCGUGGGGAGCAAACAGG